AAUUGGAGGGCAAGUCUGGUGCCAGCAGCCGCGGUAAUUCCAGCUCCAAUAGCGUAUAUUAAAGUUGUUGCAGUUAAAAAGCUCGUAGUUGAAUUUCGGGAUCAAUAUUUCGGUCAUGCCGUUGGUAUGCACUGUUAUCAUUGAUUUCUCACCUUCUAAAGAACCGUAGUGCCAUUAAUUUGGUGUUACGGGGAAUUAGGACUGUUACCUUGAAAAAAUUAGAGUGUUUAAAGCAGGCUCACGCUUGAAUACAUUAGCAUGGAAUAAUGAAAUAGGACAUCCGAUUCUAUUUUGUUGGUUUCUAGGAUCGAUGUAAUGAUUAAUAGGGAUAGUUGGGGGCAUUAGUAUUCAAUUGUCAGAGGUGAAAUUCUUGGAUUUAUUGAAGACUAACUACUGCGAAAGCAUUUGCCAAGGAUGUUUUCAUUAAUCAAGAACGAAAGUUAGGGGAUCGAAGACGAUCAGAUACCGUCGUAGUCUUAACCAUAAACUAUGCCGACUAGGGAUCGGAUGAUGUUAAUUUUUUAAUGACUCAUUCGGCGCCUUACGGGAAACCAAAGUGU
rnacentral:rRNA from 1 species